UGGAAUUGACCCUAUUGUCUUUGCUCUUUCUUCCCUCGACUCACAUACAAGGUUUCCGGGAAAGGAAACCAUUGUCCAUUGGCGAACUAAUUCACAUACUCACCACCAUCGGCGAAUCGCACUACCACCGGAGAACUACGCUACCCUCGGUGAUUUCACUACCACCAGUGACCUCACCAUCAUCGCUAGCAAACUUCAAAUUUAGCGCUAGGCUUCUUAGUCUUUUGCUUAUAGUAGGAGAAAAUUUCGGUAGACCAGAGACGUAGUGCUGCUUAUGCAGGUGAAAGAUGUUGAUGCGAUCGCUGGAGAAGAACAAGAAAUUAUGGACAAAAGGAAGGUAGCAUAUUUGUACAAGGAGUAAGGAAUGCUAGCUCACACCAAGACAAAUCUAUUACCAGAGCUGCUUAUAUUCAUCAAGGACAUCCACAAAAGGGACUUGGUUAUUUCUUUGUUGAAUUCUUAACUUAUUCUAAGGUUUGCUGGUUUUCUGUCUAUAAGUAACAAUUCGGCAUUAAAAGUUAUACCUUAGUAGACUUAAUUACUGGGUUAUAUUAGGUCAAUUUUUUUCGGGGUCAUACCAUAUCGAGCUAUCUAGUUGGGCACAAUUGAAUACAUGUCAGUUUUAGUACAUCAGUUGACGAUCUUUAACAUUUGGGUUUGGUUUAAUCAGGUACUUAUAAAUACCAUCAUAGUUUAGUGCUGAACUUAGCUACAUGACCUUUAAGGGAAGCUUUCUUUGCAGUUGUUAUUUCAGGAUAUGAGUUUCUGUAGUAUAUUUUCCAAGUUAUAUUUACAGUCAAAAUGGAUAUUGUGUUCCUUGAACAUUGCUUUAUUUAUCUGAUGAAUUUAUGGCAUUAAUCAAAAUGCAUAGAGCUCGGGGUUGAGAGUUUCAUCUCUUUGUUGAUUUGUUGUUGGUCUGCUUGUCUUCCUUCUUUUCUUUUCUUUUCUCUCUCUUUUUUUUUACAAAUAUUGAGCUUUGUUGACUUUAAUUUGUUUCUUUGAGUUGAUGUAUUAGUCUGAUGUUGUGGCAGUAGCUUCUGAUGUUUCUGGUGUUCUGUACUAAUUGUUGUGCAGGGUGAUUUUUUGCAUUGUGAUCCUUUUCUGCUGCUCUCUUCUUUUGCAGUUUGACGCAGUUUAUGUGCUGCAUGUUUAUUGGUUUGCUGCUGCUGUAGUGUUUCCCGAGUUCAGAUGUUAUACAUAUAUAACUAAUGCUUUUGUGUCAAUGCAGAGGGGUUUUUAUGUCAUUGAGAAUCGCAAACGUUGGAUAAUUUUAAAAGUUGCAAAGCGGUAGAAAGCUUUCAAGACUAUAAGAAAACUUCAAUGGAUGUAUUUAGAAGAUGGAACAAUAAGAAAACAACCACCAUGAAAAUACUUUUUGAUAGUUAAACUUGAUUGGGAUACUACUGCACUUCUAAGGGGUUCGAGGUAGUAAAGUAGACUUCAUUUCUCCCUUACAAUUUUAUUUUAAGAAUAUAGAUUUUGAUGUUUUCUCUAAAUAUUCACUUAUUACACUUGUUGUGCACCUACUGAGAUUUAUGUUCUUGGGGUUUUACUCACAAAAUGCAUUCAUAGUUUUUACAGUUUUUAAUUUAUUUUGCUUUGUGUUAAAGUACUUUAUGUACUAUAUAUAUCCUCCCCUUCUUAUUCAUUAUGUAAAGCUUUUUGGAACUAGUUUCCUAUUCUUGUCCAUUAACCUCUUCUUCUAGUGCUAACUUUUCUCUUCCCCCCAAAAAGGGCACAACUAGUUGUUUCCAUCAUACUGUGACCAUCAUGUUACCUCUUCCUUUUCCUCAAUCACAGGUCACUUCAGUAUCUCUUCACUUGAUUUCUAUCUUAAAAGCUAUAACAUACGUAGUUGUGAGAACCUCCUAAAAAUGUCACUUUAUGUACUGUAAUCCUUCUCUUCUUAUAAUUCCCUUGGAUGUAAAGCAUUCUGACCUAGUUUCCUGCUUUUGGCCAUUAACCUUUUCUUCUGUAUUUUUCUUUUAAUUGAUAUAUACCGACUAAUUUGUGCAUUGAUAAAAUCUAUCAUGUCAUCAUGUUCUCUCGCUAGGGACAGUCUUAUUUCUGAAUCGUGCAUCUCAGCUUGAGUUUUUGAGAAAGUCCAGACUAGAUUGUGAUCUGAAUUAGCUUAAAGUACGAGCAAUACACGAGUAAAGCUCAUUCCCCAUAGCUUUCAUGUUCUGUGGGAAGUUCCAUGCUUCUGUGUACAGUUUCCAUCAGACCUGGUUUUAUAGAAGAUUGUAAACUUUACAUUCAAAUUUACACAAUAAGAUUUUCUUAUUUUACCUUUUCCCUA